rnacentral:rRNA from 1 species
CGCGUGAGUGAUGAAGGCUUAGGGUUGUAAAGCUCUUUUACCAGGGAUGAUAAUGACAGUACCUGGAGAAUAAGCUCCGGCUAACUCCGUGCCAACAGCCGCGGUAAUACGGAGGGAGCUAGCGUUGUUCGGAAUUACUGGGCGUAAAGCGCGCGUAGGCGGUUACUCAAGUCAGAGGUGAAAGCCCGGAGCUCAACUCCGGAACUGCCUUUGAAACUAGGUGACUAGAAUCUUGGAGAGGCGAGUGGAAUUCCGAGUGUAGAGGUGAAAUUCGUAGAUAUUCGGAAGAACACCAGUGGCGAAGCGACUCGCUGGACAAGUAUUGACGCUGAGGUGCGAAAGCGUGGGGAGCAACAGGAUUAGAUACCCUGGUAGUCCACGCCGUAAACGAUGAUACUAGCUGCUAGGGCCACAGGGCUUUGGUG